GGGAAACCUCGAUGAACAAACACCGGGAGAGUGUUUCUGCAGAUCCUGCUUUGUGACUUCGAGUGAAGUGUGGAAGCGCUGGAAGCACUUAGACCCUGCCUGAGGAGGCCAUGAGAACCGUCAAGAAGUUCAUGGACUCAGGAGGACGUCGUGAGCAGUGCUGAGGUCAUGGAAUGUGGGCUGGGACCUUGUGUUUGGUGACAUCCUUCCCAGGCGGAGGGUACCUCGGAGCACACUCUGCAGCCUCCGGCUCUCCCUCCUAAGUCCACCUGCCCGGCCGAUUGGGCUGUGUGGUCACUGUCCUCAAGACCUUAUGUGCCAUGAGGGCUCAGAGCCCUGAGCCUCAGCACAGGAAGUGCCACCCAGGCAGCCAACACCUGCUCAGCGGGCGGAUGGCCUUGCCGACUCGGCUUUGCUCCCGGGAGCCUCCUGGAGAAGAAGCCACAGGGAGACGGACAGCCCUGGGCGGCUCCAGCUUGCCAGCUCCACAUCCAAGGUCCUCCUUCUGGGGUGGGGUUACAAUCUGUUCAAAGCAUAUGCCCAGAAUAACAUUUUUGAAAGUCUUUAAAAAUGGGGUAAAGCUGACGUACCACGAAAGAC
rnacentral:lncRNA from 1 species